AACUUAUAUACGGUGCUGCACGGCUGUCGUCAGCUCGUGUCGUGAGAUGUUGGGUUAAGUCCCGCAACGAGCGCAACCCUCGUCAUUAGUUGCUAACAGUUCGGCUGAGAACUCUAAUGAGACUGCCUACGCAAGUAGGAGGAAGGUGAGGACGACGUCAAGUCAUCAUGGCCCUUACGUCCAGGGCUACACACGUGCUACAAUGGGGUAUACAAAGAGCAGCAAUACGGUGACGUGGAGCAAAUCUCAAAAAUAUCUCCCAGUUCGGAUUGUAGUCUGCAACUCGACUACAUGAAGUUGGAAUCGCUAGUAAUCGUAGAUCAGCUAUGCUACGGUGAAUACGUUCCCGGGUCUUGUACACACC
rnacentral:rRNA from 1 species